AAUUCGUGGUGCGGGCAUUUCUAAAUCAAUGUUUUAAAAUGUUCCCAAGCCUCACGAAAACUUUCUCCUUCCAUUUCUUUAAAGACAGUGAUUUCUCUUCUUAGUU
rfam:Gossypium arboreum cultivar AKA8401 contig_6124_1, whole genome shotgun sequence.